GACGAACGCUGGCGGCGUGCUUAACACAUGCAAGUCGAACGGAAAGACCCUGCUUCUGUGGGGUGCUCGAGUGGCGAACGGGUGAGUAACACGUGAGUAACCUGCCCUUGACUUUGGGAUAACUUCAGGAAACUGGGGCUAAUACCGGAUAGGAGCUCCUGCUGCAUGGUGGGGGUUGGAAAGUUUCGGCGGUUGGGGAUGGACUCGCGGCUUAUCAGCUUGUUGGUGGGGUAGUGGCUUACCAAGGCUUUGACGGGUAGCCGGCCUGAGAGGGUGACCGGCCACAUUGGGACUGAGAUACGGCCCAGACUCCUACGGGAGGCAGCAGUGGGGAAUAUUGCACAAUGGGCGGAAGCCUGAUGCAGCAACGCCGCGUGCGGGAUGACGGCCUUCGGGUUGUAAACCGCUUUCGCCUGUGACGAAGCGUGAGUGACGGUAAUGGGUAAAGAAGCACCGGCUAACUACGUG
rnacentral:rRNA from 1 species